rnacentral:pre_miRNA from 15 species
UCACGUCAAUGACAUCCUGUCCACAGUGUGUUUGAUAAGCUGACAUGGGACAGGAUUUCUCUUCACUGUUGUGUCAGUUUAUCAAACCCAUACCUGGACGACAGUCAAUCCAGCUAAAG